GGCUUGAUGAAACUCCCUCAGGGAGGUGGGAUGAAGUUCUGCAAUGGGCAGUGUCCAAGACAUCUUCCUGCCUUCUCUUACAAGUCAGCUCACUCAGCUUCUGCUCUUCUGUCCCUUCCAGAUACAGUCGUCAUCCAUAAGACUUAAAGGAAAACCAGUGAGCGCAUGUCGCGUUUGUGUCCCCGCCUCCGGGACCACAGGAUAUCGAGGCCUUAAUUCUCAUUAGGGUUCUUGUCCGUCAACCACCCUAGACCUUAAAGGGCCUUCCAGACUGCUGCCACGCCGUGCCUAACUCUCUUCUGUUUGCAAAGGCCCGAGAGAAAACGGCUUUCCCUGAGAACCAAGAGCUACCCCUGAGACCCCUCACUUACUCUGACCCUUGGCUAGGGGGCCAUGAUUCUUUCGACCUGGUGAGAUCAAGGCUGAUUGCCAGAAAAUUCCAUCAGAGAGAUGAAGGUGUGUGAUGUUUUCAUGGAACAAAGUCCAGCCGCGAGGGAUGGAUACAAGUGAGGGGAAGGAGCCCUCAGUAAAGCCUAAAGUCACUUCCUGGAAACCAUGUGAUUAAACUGACCAAGGCCAUCCGCAACCCAGUCACCCCUGCUGCCUAUCUGCUGACCUCCAACCCUGGACCUCACCUCUGUGACAGUCCUAUGCGAUAUAUUUUAAUUCUUGCCUGUGCUUAAACAUUGAUCAUCAGGUACCUCCUCAUGAUGGUUCAUGAGAUGAGAAUUCUGCAGUUACCGUUGAAAAUUUUUAUGGCCAUCCUUUGCAGAGGAAUUGAUCACACAGUGGUUUACUGGCUAGGAAGACGGAUGAAUUGUGAUACCCAAGCCUCAGUGUCAGGAGCUCAGGGAGGCUGUGAUUUAAUGCGAUGCUGUUGGAUGCCAGCCAGCCACCCAGUGUCCUGCUCAAUCCAGAAGAUAAAAUAUACAGCUUACCUGGCCAGAGGCUGUCUUUUCCCCAUCAAUGUUGUCUGUGACUGCAGGACAUCGAGUCCCACUGAGUUCUCAUUUCCCACUUAGGAUGUCCUCCAAAGCACACGGGCUGACUUUGACCUACAAGUGAGAGAGCAAUGACAGAUGCUAUUUAAAUGUAUACCGGUCUUUAAAUAAACAAAGAAAAAGGCCUAUUUCACCAGCAAAGAGUUGUAGAGGAAGAUAUUAAAUGGCUCUGUUGAUUUAUCACUCAUCAGUUCCCCAGGAGGGCAUCAAAGGAGGGCAAACACCAGAGUCACGGUGUUAAAGCAGCAGUAGAGGCCCAAUAAGGAAAAACUCCUGGUAAAGAGAAUAGGAUCUCUGGCCUGGGCAGAGAUCUAAUAAUAUUCCAGCUAAACAGGGUCCCCAGCCUGGCUAAAGGGGCCACCCCUAAGAAGGUAUGUUCACCUCAAGCCAUGUUAAAGAAAUGGAUGGAAUAAUUAGCCCUUUAAUGGAUACUAUUCUAUUCCUUCCCAGAACUCCUACAACCCCACCCUGCCCACAGCCCAGCCUCUAGGAGCGGAGCCAACCAGAGGUUCUGCUGCCUCUGCCCAAACACCCUUCUGAGUGAGGACUCAAAACGGUGCAACAUUUUUCUUUCUUGUUUUCUAUCUCUUUCACGUGCUGACCAGAAUCUAAGUUUGUUUUUUCAAGUACUUUGAGCUUCUUUCCUCAGCCCCUGUCCCCAAAAUGUGGCUAUCUUCAGCCAUGUGGUGUGCCUCCGUGCUGAUAACUCACACACCGUGGCCUUUUCCUUCCCUCCCCCAUUCUCCUCCUCUGGGCAGCUGCUGAUAGUUAAGGCAUGCCUACUCUGUUGCCAUUGUUUGUUUGUUUGCUUGCUUGCUUGCUUGUUUUGUUUUUACCCUUUAAACUUCUGCUUGCUCCAUUCAUGAAUUCUUAUAUUAACGAGAAUAAGAAAGACAGGAAGGGACCCUGAUUUCCCCAGGAUCAGUAGGAGUCCGGGGAUUUCUGUGUGGGAGACGCCCUCGGCUUCUCAGACUGGACAAUUAACAAAUGCACGCUGUUCGCUGGGUUCGCUCAGUCUAGGUGGUUUCCGUUUUCCACUUGUAUGACAACUGCAGAUUUCUGGAAUCAGAGCAUCGUGAAGGAAUUACCAACCUGUGUCCCCUCUCCGGCAAUUUUCUCGAUGAUCUGACUUCUCAAUCGUGAGCCCUUUACUUCUCGUUCCCGUGUUUACAUAUCUGUUCAAAUCCCGGUGAUUAAAAAGGAGCUGUCAAGGUUGAUGGUCCUAAAAUAAGACGCAAGUGCUCAUCUUUAAUGUACAUAUUAACAUUGAUGGCUCCACUUCCUAAUCCUCGCUGAACCUUCAAGGAAAGAGACGGAAACACAUCAACGAAGUGAGAUUUUUUUUAUUCUUAAGAAAAAAGGAGGACAAUCUCAAAAAAUAAAAAU
rnacentral:lncRNA from 1 species